GACGAACGCUGGCGGCGUGCUUAACACAUGCAAGUCGAGCGGAAAGGCCCUGCUUUUGUGUGUUUCUCGAGUGGCGAACGGGUGAGUGACACGUGAGUAACCUGCCCUUGACUUUGGGAUAACUUCAGGAAACUGGGGCUAAUACCGGAUAUGAUCUCCUGCUGCAUGUGGUUGGUUGGUAAAUGUCGGCGUUUCGGGAUGGAUUCGCGGCUUAUCAGCUUGUUUGUGGGGUAGUGGCGUACCAAGGCUUUGACGGGUAGCCUGCCUGAGAGGGUGACCGGGCACAUGGGGACUGAGAUACGGACCAGACUCCAACGGGAGGCAGUAGUGGGGAAUCUUGCGCAGUGGGGGGAAGCCUGAUGCAGAAACGUCGGGUGCGGGAUGACGGCCUUCGGGUUGUAAACAGAUUUCGCCUGUGACGAAGAGUGAGUGACGGUAAUGGGUAAAGAAGCAACGGCUAACUACGUG
rnacentral:rRNA from 1 species